rnacentral:rRNA from 1 species
AUUCCAGCUCCAGUAGCGUAUAUUAAAGCUGUUGCAGUUAAUUAGCUCGUUGUUGGUUUUCUUUUUUCCCCUCCCUUUCCUCCUUCCUCCCUUUCUUGUGCGCCGUGUUUUGUGUACCAUCCUUCUAGAAAUUGUGUUCCAUCCCUUCACUGGGAUAGAUCCGAGAUCUAGAUCUUUUACUUUGAAGAAAUUAGAGUGUUCAAAGCAGGCUCGCGCUGUGAAUACAUUAGCAUGGAAUAAUAAUUUAGGACUUGGUAUCCUAUUUUGUUGGUUUUCAGGAUCUAAGUAAUGAUUGAUAGGGAUAGUUGGGGGUGCUAGUAUUUUGCGGCCAGAGGUGAAAUUCUGUGAUUCGCGAAAGACUAACUUAUGCGAAAGCAUUCACCAAGGAUGUCUUCAUUG